rnacentral:lncRNA from 1 species
AAAGGCCUGUGAAAAAAAUGCUGACAUGUUGGAGGAGAUGUAGCAGGACUCAGUGGACUCGGCUACUUAGGCACUGGAGAAGUAAAAUAUAGAGAGGUCGUUAAUACCCAUAAGCACUGCUUAUGAGAAGGACCUUCAGUGGUUAUGAGACAUGUAAAACAUAGGUCUUUAUUUCUUUCUACCUGGCCUAAAUGAGCAUGCUUUUGUUCA